GACGAACGCUGGCGGCGUGCUUAACACAUGCAAGUCGAACGGAAAGGCCCUUCGGGGUGCUCGAGUGGCGAACGGGUGAGUAACACGUGGGUGAUCUGCCCUGCACUUUGGGAUAAGCCUGGGAAACUGGGUCUAAUACCGAAUAUGACUGCGCUCUUCAUGGGGUGUGGUGGAAAGCUUUUGCGGUGUGGGAUGGGCCCGCGGCCUAUCAGCUUGUUGGUGGGGUAAUGGCCUACCAAGGCGACGACGGGUAGCCGGCCUGAGAGGGUGACCGGCCACACUGGGACUGAGAUACGGCCCAGACUCCUACGGGAGGCAGCAGUGGGGAAUAUUGCACAAUGGGCGCAAGCCUGAUGCAGCGACGCCGCGUGAGGGAUGACGGCCUUCGGGUUGUAAACCUCUUUCAGCACAGACGAAGCGCAAGUGACGGUAUGUGCAGAAGAAGGACCGGCCAACUACGUGCCAGCCGCCGCCGUAACAC
rnacentral:rRNA from 1 species